GCUCAUCAACGUGACCCCCCACUGGCGGUUAAAAGGUGAAAUCCGAUGCCAGCGGCUCUCUGAGACCUGAGCCCAAAUCCCAUGGAUCUUGCUGCUCAAGGAUGCCACUGCCACCAACGUCCCUGCUCGCCCUGUCAUCGCUGGCACCCUCUCCUGGGUGUUCCUGUCCAUCACCUUGCAAGUGUGCCGGACCCCUUCCAGAUGCCAACCGUGGCUACAUCACCAGGACAACUCCCAGCUCGUGUCCCCAAAGCCCCCGGCCCUCUCCAGGCUCCUGCAUGGAAGCGCCCAGACUCUUCUCCCAGGAUGCCCCUUGGACCUGCUCUGAUAAGGCUUCAGCCACACCCCCUGUCCAGGUCACCAGUGACCUCUCCUCACCUAAUCUGAGGCCAUUUUUGUAUGCUUGCUCCACGAACGUGACCCUGCCCUUCUUGAAAUGCCUCCUCCACACAUCACUGCCCAGUGGCCCUCCUGCUUCACCAAGGAUCAGCCAGUGUCCUGUGAACUCACGGAGAGCCUGCUCUGGUCACUGUGCCCAUCUCCGCCCUGU